GGGGACAUGCAAAUUCUCUUUUGAUUAGGAGCUCUUUGCCUUUCUCAGAAUCAGAGAUCUUUGUCGUUCUAAGAAUCAGAGCUCUUUUCCGUUCUAAGAACAGGAGCUCUUUGCCGUUCUAAGAACAGGAGCUCUUUGCCGUUGUGGGGAGCAAAGAACGGCAUAAAAAAAACAGGAGCUCUGGGGAAUUCGUAGCCUAAUGGUUAGUGAGUCUGACUGGGAACCCAAAGGUUGCUGAUUCGAUUCCAGCACCGGCAGGAAAUGACUGAGGUGCCCUUGAGCAAGGCACCUAACCCCUAAUCACUCCCCGGGCGCCACAGCAUAAAGGCUGCCCACUGCUCCGGAAUCAGCUCUCUUUGCCGUUCUCAGAACUUUCUUCACAUGAGGUUUUAAAACAGCAUUCUGAAAUUCAUCAGAACAGAUCUCAGAGCUGCGGUGGAUGUUUCCUCUUUCCUGCUCAUCACAAGAUUCAGAAAAAUCACACAUCCAGAAAACUGCUGGAGCCUCAGAAAUCACAGAGCAGCAGAAAACAAGAAGACAGAGAGAAAAAUGGAGACACAAACCAGUGGAUCACAAGAGAGAAGAGGACUGAGAGCUGUUAGACAUGACAGUAUGAAAAGAAAGAAGCCAGACUUGUCAUGUGAUCCAGAUGAUCCUGUAAAGAUUCAUUCUGAUGUCAAAACUGAGGAGAGAUUCUCUCAUCAAAACCCUUCAUCAUGUUCUCAAGAACACACAACAUCACUGACGUCCAGAUACCAGCAGCUGAAGACCCGAACAUCUUCUUCAUCAUCAUCAUCAUCAUCACAGACUCCAUCCAUUCCUGGAUUCUGGAAGCUUUUACAGACUAAUGACAGACUGAUGAAAAAAAACAGACUGAGGGGUCAUUUACACAACACCGUUUUGACAACUAAAAACGUAUCGUUUUGAGGGCCUGAAAACAGAAACUUUUGAAAACGAGUUUCAAAGUGCAAGUUUUUGAAAAGAAUACUGUUAUUGCCUGCGUGUCAACUACACAAACAUGAAUAUGUGAAAACGGUGACGUCAUGUACAUGUUAGAGGUGUGCUGCCCGACCAGUUCUGAAGAACUCGCAGGUUUCAGAUCGGGUUCAGGUUAAGGUUUCAGGAAUAGUUUCCGGUUUGGGUCUGUCACUGAGAAAACUAUAUAGGCUAUUAUAUAAGGUUUGCAUUCCGUCUUCUGUGUUGUGGCUGAAAGAGUGCACGAGGGUAUUUAAAAUUUGUAUUUUAAAAGUGGGGUAAGUAGAUUUUGAAAAACACUGUUUGGAAGUUAGUCGGCCGACACCAACAACAAACGUGUAACCAAUCAGCAUUAGGGGGCGUAUGACGGUCGAGGAGAGAGAACAAGUAAGAGGGAGAUUUGAAAGAAAAAAAAAACUGCAGAAAGAGAGAUGAGACACAAAAGAUUAUCACUGGAAUGAAGGUUUAUGACUGGUCAAGCGCUUUAGGACCAGCGGAAAUAUUAGAAAAGCUGGAGAGAGCUUAACGGAAGGCCUGAAAACAGACGAGGAGGCUGCUUUGAUUCCUUCUCAUGUGAGUAACACUGGGUUUGACUGUCUGGAGCUGCUGUGCUGUUGGUGAUUAACAACAAACUCUUGUUUGCAUUCACUCUUGUGUACUGUACGUUCAUUUUUUGCUCUUCCUUGUCGUUCAUUCAUCAACUGCGCUUUAUUUUUCAUGAAGCAUUUUGUUGUGCGUCAGCUGUGAUAAACAGACAUCCACUCGUAUUGCGUGUGUAACAGAGGUCAGAUAGUGAGAGUUGAGCAGGUAAACCACUGCGCACUGACGACCGCUAGAGAAUGAGAUGUUUAGUGUCAUUGUUAGUGCACUCGCCUCGGGGGUUCGAGACCGACUCGGAGCAGGGUGGCUAGGAUUGGAGAGUGAGUUUGGAGGCGGAGCAAUGGAGAGAGGGGUGGGUUUGUUUGGGUUGAUUUCAAAUAUCAACAAUGUCCAUGAACUACUUACCCCACCUUUAGCUGUUUUGCACAUGUGCUCCCGCUCUCACGCGCUCUUUCGGUCACAACACAGCACACGGCACUCAAACCUUCAACUAUGAGAGCGAUAAGACAAACAUUUACUGAAGGAAAACUUACAGUGCCAAACGAUGCAGAGAAAGCAGCACAACGAAUUCUGCUGAAUAACAGGUGAGCUAGGCGAUAGCACAAAAUUAAACAGACUCUAAAAUUACUUCGCAAUAAUUAAUGUGUGUGUGAAGUGAACGAAUGUAAACUGAGCACAGCCACAAAUCAAAUAGCCACACUACCGUCUGUCUCAGAAAUCAGAGAUUUGUCAAGAGUAGGCUAAUGCUAUCAUCAUCUAAAACACUACAUCAUACACAUUUUGUAUUAUUAUUUUGUAUUAACCAUUUCACUACACUCCAUCUCAUGUACUGUAUAUGUAUGUGACAAAUAAAGAACCUUGAACCUUUAGUUUAAUCAGCUCAUGUGAAUAACCUUUAUACAGUUCUGUUGAGUUUAUGUUUGUUCUGAGAAUAGACAUGACUUUCUUUUCCUCACUCAAAUUCCUCCACAACUUGUAAUAAUUUAAAACAAGAUUCAGAGGCAAUAGAUGGCCUAUUUAUACAGUUCUUACAGCGUUCUGUGUGUGUCAUGUGUACUUGGAGCCUGUCAAUCAACAUUAGAGCGCCACCCUCAGGCUGAAUUACUCAAGGAUGUUAGUGGUGAAAUAAAGCUUUGUAAAGCACCAAGGCUUUCCCAUCAACUGUAUCGUAAAACAGUUCAUUACUCAGAGCUUUUCAACACGGUUCACACUAAAGACAUCUUGAGGUCAAAAGGUGGAAAAGCUGCCUUUGCGUCCCACAUGACCCAGACAUUUUUUGAUUGUUUCAUAUAAUAAAUCAGUUUGUGCUUUGAAAAACAUAAAGGCAAUAAAAAUAAUUAGUCUAUAUAAAUACUCUUUCACAUGUCUUGGUACAUAAACAAUGUAUGAAUAAAGGAGUCGAAUGUGUUUAUGAAAGAAUGAAUAAAUAUGACUACUUGUUGUGUAUAGUGUUACUGUAGCCAUUUUUAUGAAUCUGCUUAGAUUAAUGAGUCUUUUAAUCAUAUUGAUCAUGAACUACAGCAGUGUUUCCACUCUUUCUGAAAGUGAAGCAGCUUCAGAGUGACAUAAACCACAAUAAAUUUCACAUGAUUGCA